rnacentral:rRNA from 1 species
GAAUUCAACUCCUACGGGAGGCAGCAGUGGGGAAUAUUGCACAAUGGGCGCAAGCCUGAUGCAGCCAUGCCGCGUGUAUGAAGAAGGCCUUCGGGUUGUAAAGUACUUUCAGCGGGGAGGAAGGCGAUGUGGUUAAUAACCGCAUUGAUUGACGUUACCCGCAGAAGAAGCACCGGCUAACUCCGUGCCAGCAGCCGCGGUAAUACGGAGGGUGCAAGCGUUAAUCGGAAUUACUGGGCGUAAAGCGCACGCAGGCGGUCUGUUAAGUCAGAUGUGAAAUCCCCGGGCUUAACCUGGGAACUGCAUUUGAAACUGGCAGGCUUGAGUCUCGUAGAGGGGGGUAGAAUUCCAGGUGUAGCGGUGAAAUGCGUAGAGAUCUGGAGGAAUACCGGUGGCGAAGGCGGCCCCCUGGACGAAGACUGACGCUCAGGUGCGAAAGCGUGGGGAGCAAACAGGAUUAGAAACCCUAGUAGUCCAGGCGUU